AGGGAUCAUUACUGAGUGAGGGCCUUCGGGCUCGACCUCCAACCCUUUGUGAACACAACUUGUUGCUUCGGGGGCGACCCUGCCGUUUCGACGGCGAGCGCCCCCGGAGGCCUUCAAACACUGCAUCUUUGCGUCGGAGUUUAAGUAAAUUAAACAAAACUUUCAACAACGGAUCUCUUGGUUCUGGCAUCGAUGAAGAACGCAGCGAAAUGCGAUAAGUAAUGUGAAUUGCAGAAUUCAGUGAAUCAUCGAAUCUUUGAACGCACAUUGCGCCCCUUGGUAUUCCGAGGGGCAUGCCUGUUCGAGCGUCAUUUCACCACUCAAGCCUCGCUUGGUAUUGGGCGCCGCGGUGUUCCGCGCGCCUCAAAGUCUCCGGCUGAGCUGUCCGUCUCUAAGCGUUGUGAUUUCAUUAAUCGCUUCGGAGCGCGGGCGGUCGCGGCCGUUAAAUCUUUCACAAGGUUGACCUCGGAUCAGGUAGGGAUACCCGCUGAACUUAA
rnacentral:rRNA from 8 species